rnacentral:rRNA from 1 species
AGCGAACGCUGGCGGCAGGCCUAACACAUGCAAGUCGAACGAACCUUCGGGUUAGUGGCGGACGGGUGAGUAACACGUGGGAACGUGCCUUUUGGUUCGGAACAACUCAGGGAAACUUGAGCUAAUACCGAAUGUGCCCUUCGGGGGAAAGAUUUAUCGCCAUUAGAGCGGCCCGCGUCUGAUUAGCUUGUUGGUGAGGUAAAGGCUCACCAAGGCUACGAUCAGUAGCUGGUCUGAGAGGAUGAUCAGCCACAUUGGGACUGAGACACGGCCCAAACUCCUACGGGAGGCAGCAGUGGGGAAUCUUGCGCAAUGGGCGAAAGCCUGACGCAGCCAUGCCGCGUGAAUGAUGAAGGUCUUAGGAUUGAAAAAUUCUUUCACCGGGGACGAUAAUGACGGUACCCGGAGAAGAAGCCCCGGCUAACUUCGUGCCAGCCGCCGCCGUAAUAC